GACAUUUUAACUAUAUAAGUAUAUAUUUUGAAAAUAUAAAAAAGAUCUCAUAUCUAAAUGUCU
rnacentral:tRNA from 1 species